GAUGAACGCUGGCGGCGUGCUUAACACAUGCAAGUCGAACGAAGCAUUUGCGACAGAUUUUUUCGGAAUGAAGUUGCUUAUGACUGAGUGGCGGACGGGUGAGUAACGCGUGGGUAACCUGCCUUGUACUGGGGGAUAGCAGCUGGAAACGGCUGGUAAUACCGCAUAAGCGCACAAUGUUGCAUGACAUGGUGUGAAAAACUCCGGUGGUAUAAGAUGGACCCGCGUCUGAUUAGCUAGUUGGUGAGAUAACAGCCCACCAAGGCGACGAUCAGUAGCCGACCUGAGAGGGUGACCGGCCACAUUGGGACUGAGACACGGCCCAGACUCCUACGAGAGGCAGCAGUGGGGAAUAUUGCACAAUGGAGGAAACUCUGAUGCAGCGACGCCGCGUGAGUGAAGAAGUAAUUCGUUAUGUAAAGCUCUAUCAGCAGGGAAGAUAGUGACGGUACCUGACUAAGAAGCUCCGGCUAAAUACGUG
rnacentral:rRNA from 1 species